UACGUAGGGGGCGAGCGUUGUCCGGAAUUAUUGGGCGUAAAGAGCUCGUAGGCGGUCUGUUACGUCCGCUGUGAAAACCCAGGGCUUAACCCUGGGCUUGCAGUGGAUACGGGUAGACUAGAGGCAGGUAGGGGAGAAUGGAAUUCCCGGUGUAGCGGUGAAAUGCGCAGAUAUCGGGAGGAACACCGGUGGCGAAGGCGGUUCUCUGGGCCUGACCUGACGCUGAGGAGCGAAAGCGUGGGGAGCGAACAGG
rnacentral:rRNA from 1 species